GACGUAGGGCGCUAGCGUUGUCCGGAUUUAUUGGGCGUAAAGAGCUCGUAGGCGGUCUGUCGCGUCGGUCGUGAAAACUUGGGGCUUAACCCUGAGCUUGCGGUCGAUACGGGCAUGACUGGAGUUCGGUAGGGGAGACUGGAAUUCCUGGUGUAGCGGUGAAAUGCGCAGAUAUCAGGAGGAACACCGGUGGCGAAGGCGGGUCUCUGGGCCGAUACUGACGCUGAGGAGCGAAAGCGUGGGGAGCGAACAGG
rnacentral:rRNA from 1 species